rnacentral:lncRNA from 1 species
GGAGUCGGCUCCUUUUUGUAAAGCAGUCACCUCAGAAUAUCAGGUCUCUGGUGUAAAGCCUGGGUCUCUCCUCUCUGGUUUAUUGUCCUUGUUUAUACUGUCAUGACCCUGAAGUUGAAACUGUGUAGGUUUUACUCUGGCCAGGAGUGUUACUGCAGUUUAGCUCUACUGUUCUGCUCCUAUUUCUCUCUACCACUUCUCCCUGAAGUGUGCACUCGUUCACUACCACUUCUCCCUGAAGUGUGCACUCGUUCACUACCACUUCUCCCUGAAGUGUGCACUCGUUCACUACCACUUCUCCCUGAAGUGUGCACGCUUUGUGAGAGAGAUACAGGUGACGUAAAUGGACACAAACUACUUGGCCAUUUCUUGACGAGCUCAAGUGUGACAUGUUUUUGUCGUUGCAGGUAUGGGCGCUUGGCGCUGGCCAGACUGGAUGAGGAAGUGAGGCUGAGAGAGAGGUCUGCAGAGAGAGGUCUGCAGAGAGACAACGGCUACUUGGGACUGCGGCAGGAGAGGACCUUUGGGCAGGUUCCUGCAGCGUGUGUCAGGGUGGAGUUACCUGACCCAUGGAGAAUUACUUCCAGACAGAGGCCUUCAACCUGGACAAGGUGCUGGAUGACUUUGAACAGAACCAAGGUGAGACCAAUUAACCAAUUAGCCAAUUGUCAAUGAAGCAAUCAGAUGUACUGUUGCUGGGCUGAGAGCCGAUUCUCCUCUUCUCUCCAGAGUUUUAUAGGACGUAUUAUGUGGUUAUUAAAGGAGGGUAAUUGUGGAGAGGGAAUGCAGAGAAUAGGAUCAGCCUCUCCCUCAGGGUUCUGGGUAAUUGGUGUCAUAUAUAUUUGGGUUGAGGUGUGUGCGAGCACUUGUCUGUGUUCCAAGUGUGUGAAGUUCACAUCGUUGUUCAUUUUUAAAGGGUGUUGAAUCUGGAGUCCUUAGCGGUGGAACUGCCACAUCCGUUUCCCAUCAGAAUCAAACUUUAUUUGUCACAUGCGCCCAAAUACAACCUUACAGUGAUAUACUUACUUACAAGCCCUUAACCAAGAGAGUUAAGAACAUAUUGACCUAAUAAACUAAAGUAACACAAUAACAACGCUAUAUAUACAGGGGGUGCCAAGUCAAUGUGCGGGGAUAGAGGUUAGUUGAGGUAAUUUGUACAUGUAGCUAGGGGUAAAGUGACUGCAUAGAUAAUCAACAGCGAACAGCAGCAGUGUUUAAACAGGGGUGAGGGGGCAGCAGCAUCAAUGUAAAUAGUCCACGUGGCCAUUUGAUUAAGUGUUGAGCGGUUUUAUGGCUUGGGGAUGGUAGCUGUUAAGGAGCCUUUUGGACCUAGACUUGACGCUCCGGUACCGUUUGCCUUAGCGGUAGCAGAGAGAACAGUUUGGUUUGGGUGACUGGAGUCUGACAUCGCCUAGUAUAUAGG